AACGGCCGUACCAUGCUGAAUAUACCGGUUCCCGUUAGAUCCCCGAAGUCAAGCAUCAUUGGGCGCGGUCAGUACUUGGGUGGGUGACCACCUGGGAACACUGCGUGCCGUU
rnacentral:rRNA from 1 species